CUCUUUCUCUCGCGAUUGAAAGAGAAUCAUCUCGAUCCGGUGGUGGUGACGCUGAAGGAGAAUCAUCUCGAUCUGUCUAUCGAUUUCAAGAUUUUAUCGCGUAAAAUCGGAUUCGAUUAAGCUAAAGAUGAGGAUGACAUCUCUUGGGCUGAUAAACAAACAUAUGUUUCGUAAAUUUCAGCAAUGUACUGUGGAACUAUAAAAAAGCUGUCACUGCAAGGUAUUAAACUGGUAUUGGUGGAUUUCCAAUAAAAUCGGAAAGCUGCACAUGAAUGAAUUAUAGAAACUCCGAGAAUCAAUAAAUUGAUUCAACAUCCGAGAGCAACAACAAGCUUGUACUCAGCACCAACAAGCCAAGAGCAACUUCAACUUCAAUCCUCAUGUCAUGGUUCGUGCUUGUACUCUUGUCAUGAUUCUUUUUCAUGUUUUGUUUGUAAAACAAGUUCUCUGAUUUUUAUCUAAAA